ACCUUGAGUAGCUCAGUCAACAGAUCUCAAGACUCUUAAUCUCAGAGUUGUGGGUUUGAUCCCCACAUUGGGCA